AAUGGGCUACAUUUUCUUAUAAAAGAACAU
rnacentral:sRNA from 1 species